AUACGAAGGGUGCAAGCGUUGCUCGGAAUUAUUGGGCGUAAAGGGGAGGUAGGUGGUCUCGUUUGUCCGGGGUGAAAUCCCAAGGCUCAACCUUGGACGUGCCUCGGAAACGGCGAGACUAGAGUGCUGGAGAGGUUAGCGGAAUUCCCGGUGUAGCGGUGAAAUGCGUAGAGAUCGGGAGGAACACCAGAGGCGAAGGCGGCUAACUGGACAGCUACUGACACUGAACUCCGAAAGCGUGGGGAGCAAACAGGAUUAGAUACCCUGGUAGUCCACGCCGUAAACUAUGGGCACUAGGUUUCGCGGGUCUUGACCCCUGCGGAGCCGGAGCUAACGCGAUAAGUGCCCCGCCUGGGGAGUACGGUCGCAAGACUAAA
rnacentral:rRNA from 1 species